rnacentral:lncRNA from 1 species
AUGAUCUCUCGUAUUUGUUUGAUUUUUUGUAUUAUUUUCGUUUUGCUUUCAGGUUUCACAACUAGUUGGAAAGAUCCAUAUCUCUGUCAUGGGGAUUGCAGAGAUGUCGAAAAGUGCAAUAAAUUUUGCUUUGAUAUGGGUUAUAAGAAUCGUGGUUUUUGUAAUGUUUUUACUGCAGAUAAUCAGUGUUGUUGUCAUUAA